GACGAACGCUGGCGGCGCGCUUAACACAUGCAAGUCGAGCGGUGAAGCUCUGACAGAGCCCUGCGGGGCGAAGACAAAGUGGUUUAGCGGCGGACGGUAAAGUAACACGUGAGUAACCUUCCUUAGACAUUGGUAUAGCCUCGGGAAACCGGGAUUAAUACCAAAUAAAAGCGUAAUGACACAUGUCAUAACGAUCAAAACGCCUGUGGGCUAAGCUGGAGUCGCGUCCGAUUAUGUAGUUGGUAGGGUAAAAGCGUACCAAGGCGACGAUGGGUAGCCGGGCUGAGAGGGUGAACGGCCACAUUGGAACUGAGAAACGGUCCCAACUCCUACGGGAGGCAGCAGUGGGGAAUAUUGCACAAUGGAGGGAACUCUGAUGAAGCGACGCCGGGUGAACGAAGAAGGGUUUCGAGUCGUAAAGUUCUUUUAUAUGGGAAGAUAAUGACGGUACCAGAAGAAAAAGCCCCGGCUAACUACGUG
rnacentral:rRNA from 1 species